GGCAAGAUAUGUGAAGUAGUCCCACCAUAGCAAGCUAGGUGUUUCUACUUCACUUUGUCCUUAUUCGCACUGCGUGCUCAACGUCUCUUGCUCUGCGAGGC
rnacentral:ncRNA from 1 species